AAAUAAGAAACAAAAUUUGUAAUUAGUUUCGACCUAAUAUUUGGCUAAAUCGCCCUUAUUU
rnacentral:tRNA from 1 species